UGGCUAAGCGGUAAAGAGCUGGGCUUCUGAACCAAUAGUCCCAGGUUUGAAUCCUGG
rnacentral:tRNA from 1 species